AAGUUGAUUAGAAAUAUUAUAUUAAAAAAAUUAAAAUUAAAUGAAAUUAAAAGUCAAAAGUAAAAAACAAUUGUUUCUAUAUAUUUCUUUUAUAAGAAAAAUAAAAUAUGGAUGGCUGAAGAAUGGAAUUGCGCUAAACUACGAGAUUCUGAAACUUCCUGGUUAAGUUGGUGGUAUCCAUUGGACACAUUUUGAAACACCCACUAAAUUUAAAUUCAAAACACUGGUUUUAAAUUUGUAUAUCUUAAGAUAACAAUUUGAUAAUGUAAAACUCCUAGCCAAAUACGUUACAAAUCUGGAAGCAGGAAGAAAAUACUACACAAAUGGUUGUAAAUGCAGUAACGAAUUCUUUAACUGGGUACGAUGUUUGUUCAAGAUUCAUAGCUUAGUGUAGAGUUAUUAUAAAUUACAGUGGCCAACAAAAUUUAUAAAAAGUCGAACCCCAGAGACCAAAGUACACUUUUCUAAACUCAAAUUCCUCAUCACAUUAGGAUUGGAGACGCUAUAACAUGGCAAUCACAUCUUUAUAUAUAUUCUUGUGUCGUCUGAAAGUCCAAUCUUCGUAAUAUUUGCUUCCUACUUUGAGAUAUCAUAAUCCAAAGUAAAAAACAGCUAUAAAUUCAAAAAAUAAAUUGUCUUUAUUUUACAGCAAACAUUUCAGCGGAAAAUUCAAAAAGUAUUAUAUAUAUUUCGAUGAAAAAAAGAUAAAUCUGAGGUUAAACCUUUAUUUUAAAGUCGACAGAUCGAACACUAAGACAACAUAACAAAUUUUAUAAAUAAAGAUGUCUUCGCGCUGUUAUAACGGCUCAAAUAUGGCCAAAACGGGAUCUUUUGAUCUUAAAAACACGAUAUCUCGAAGUCAGCUUUGGAUUCAGCGCAGCUCAAUCCUUUAGAAAAAAAUAUGUUGGCCUUUGAGUUAAAAUUUGUUAGCCUGUGUUAUCUAAAACAAAGUAAUUUGUAAAACCAUUUAUUUAAAAUUUAUAAUAAAAUUAA